CAUUACUUUUGGGUUAAUAUUUGGUGAUCUUUAUAUAUUUGCAUAUGUUUAAUUCCAAUUUUGAUCAUAUUUCCCCAAACAAGAUUUUUAUGAGCUUUAUGAUGUUUUUCCAUCUUAUGCAUGAUUUAUUUCUCAUUAUGUGAAUUUGGUCUUGUAGGGUACUAAUGGGUUCAUGAUUCAAGUGGAGGCAUGGUUCAUUCAACCAAAUGGAGCCCAAAACCCUAACUGAUCUGAAAUUGAGCUUGGAUUCUAGUCAAACCCCAGCUGGACCAAAACCUAGGUAUAAAAGGGAAUUUUUGGCACGGUGAACAGUGAGCUCGCGCUACUAUUCAUCGUGCCAGUUUCUUGACGGCGCGGUCGCAGCUCCCUUCCUUCUUCCAAAUCUUCGAGCAACCUUGUCCUCAUCGGCGAGGAGUUCCUCAGCUUCCAGCAACCGGUUUCCGACCUUCAGCACCUCUCCAGCGAGCGUUUUUGCAGGCGAAGUACUGUAGCGGCGAGCUGCGAUUUUAAGCUCAGACCAGCGGCGUUCUUCUGCAUUUCAACGUUCCCAGCUUUCUUCAUCAGCUCACGACGCCAUUUCCAGAAAACGCAGCAGAGAACCAUUUCAGAACUGAACUUCCUGAAAUUUUGUGAGCUAAUGCAAGGAAAUCUGAAUCGUCUUGAAGCUUAAGAACACCAGAUCGAUUUCUGUUGGAGUGUUCUCUGCAGAUUCCUUGUGUGACGGUAAGGAGAAGACAAGUUUGGUUUAAGAUUUGGUGUAGGGAUGUUUAGUUUUUCUUGCAGUUGUUUCUUAGUUUAGAUUUCUUGUUUUUGCAAAUUUUGUUUUUGAAAUUGUUUGAAGAUAGCUUAGAGUCGUUUUUAGUUUAAUUCUUAUGCACGAAUCUGCUCUUUUCAUUUCUAAACUUGGCUGUUCUGUUUGGGUUUU